rnacentral:lncRNA from 1 species
GUUUUGGUGAUGGUGAUGUGUUUGUACAUCUUACUUUACUGAACAUUCUUGCUGCUUACAAUUAUCUCAAUCUAUAAUGAACUUGGCCCAGUAGUUUCAGUGGAAAAUGUUAGUAAAAAUUUACAAAUUUUAUGAAAAUUGUUAAAAAUUGACUAUAAAGGACAAUAACUCCUUAGGGGGUCAAUUGACCAUUUCAGUCUGUUGACUUAUUUGUAAAUCUUACUUUUCUGAACAUUAUUGCUGUUUACAGGUUAUCUCUAUCUAUAAUAGUAUUCAAGAUAAUAACCAAAAACAGCAAAAUUUCCUUAAACUUACCAAUUUAGGGGCAGCAACCCAACAACGGGUUGUCCGAUUCAUCUGAAAAUUUAAGGGCAGAUAGAUCUUGACCUGAUAAACAAUUUUAC